rnacentral:rRNA from 1 species
UACGUAGGGGGCAAGCGUUGUCCGGAUUUAUUGGGCGUAAAGCGCGUGUAGGCGGCUUGGCAAGUCGGGUGUGAAAGCCCUCAGCUCAACUGAGGAAGUGCGCCCGAAACUGCUGAGCUCGAGUACCGGAGAGGGUGGCGGAAUUCCCCAAGUAGAGGUGAAAUUCGUAGAGAUGGGGAGGAACACCGGUGGCGAAGGCGGCCACCUGGACGGUCACUGACGCUGAGACGCGAAAGCGUGGGUAGCAAACAGG